AAAAAAACCGUCAGUCAUCAUCUCCACUGCCGCCUCAGAUUCUUCUCUGGAUAGUUCCCCACCACUCCCUCACAAUCUCCUCCGUUCCCCAUUCUCUCCACCAUAGCCAGCGCUCCCUGGUCAGGCCGCCCCCUCCCCUUCGUCACCAUCGCCGGCGCUCCCUGGUCAGGCUGUCCUCCCCUUCGUCACCAGCGCGGCCGCUCUCUCACACCCCGUAGGUCAAAGGUUGAAUUUUUAUCCGCUGCUGAUGGUGCUGCUGGGCGAGGAGGCGCUGGAUGCGCGUGCGCCGGCGCUGGAUCUGCUCCGUCUGGCUCCGGCGACCUUACCCCGUGGCUCCGGGACAGGAAGGCUACCCCGACGACAUACAGCAACUGGACUCUAUGCACAGCGAGGAGGAUGAAGACACCUAGCCAUGGAUUUUUAGCAGCACUCACUCAAGGAAAAAGAGACCUCAACACGCCAAUGGAUGCAGCCAGCCUCCAACUCACCACGCACCUGCACCAACUUGAUGUAGGGAGAGGAGGAGUGAGGCUUCUCUCACGGGAUGACGCCCAGCCAUGGGGCAGCAACAAUCCAAGAUUGCUGUCAAAAUAAGCCUAAAUUCAGAGUCUUCGGAAGUCAAUUACUUUGAGCCUUUGAGUUAGGAGGUAUACCAGUCUCUUUGUAGUUUGCUCUUAAUAAACUCUUCCCUUGGCCAUGAUGAGAUGUUUAAGUCUUUCCACUUAUCAGUUUUUAGUUCCACUUGAAGCGAUGCAUAUUCGAAUACAUUUUCUAGUCCUUUGAGCUGUUGAAUGAAUAAAUGAAAAAGUAUUAGCAUCACAACCGAACAAUAACAGAAAUCGUGUUAUCAAAAGAUGGUGUAGUGGGACUAAUGACUAACCAUAGCGGUGAGGUCUUUGCGGCUCAUUCCUGGGCCUAGCGAGUCGAGCACCUGGAUGCAUCGCUGCCCGGCAUUUAUAACUGCUAGGUACCAAUGGAAGUGUUCAAUGUUAACUGGAAUGUAUAUCUGAAAAUAGGGUUUUUGUUAGUUUAGGUCCCAUCUAUACAAACAUUUAUAUGGAACUGAGACUCACCAUAUCAUGUUCCAAAUAAGUUAUAGCCAAUUCAAUUGGGGCAUAGAUAAUGAAAUUUGAUCAUCAUUACCUUGUGAUACAGCUAGCUGUGCCGGUGUUCCGUUAUGUAGGCCAUCUAUUUCCUCACUGGUAUUUUUUUUUCUUUUGUAGGCUUCACGCCUUCUCUUAUUAAUCUCAUCUUUAUUUUUUGCAUACCGCUCUCUAUCCCUCUGCCUUUUUAGUUCCUUUGGGUCUGCAAAUCAUGAAACAGUUCAGCAGUUGUAAUAGGUUUUUUGCGCGUGGCGCUAUAGCGCGGCUGUUGGAGAUGCUCUAGAAAAC
rnacentral:rRNA from 1 species